AGACAACAAAAUGUUUAAUAUUAUUAUUUUGUCACCUUAGGUCGAUCGGUAUCUCACGUUCUUAAUUUAUUAAGAAUUUCAUUUCCUAAGUUUUUCUAGGUCACACCCAUUAUUUUUCCUGGGCCAUUAGCUCAGGUGGUUAGAGCGCACCCCUGAUAAGGGUGAGGUCCCUGGUUCAAGUCCAGGAUGGCCCAUAUCUCUAUGUUGGGGGUAUAGCUCAGUUGGUAGAGCGCCUGCUUUGCAAGCAGGAUGUCAGCGGUUCGAGUCCGCUUACCUCCACUGAUUACCACCUCUUCCAUAACUGGUAGAAAGGAAAAGUUUUGAGUUGUGAUCAUUAUUCUGAACGAAUCUAGCUUCCUAAUGAAAUCAUUAAGAUGCUGGACUCAUUGAAUUAAUUUCAUUGUUUUCAGAGAACCUUGACAACUGCAUAGAUUUUUUUAAAGACAAUAAGCAUCUUUAAUGAUGCAGAUUUAUUAUUUGUGCGAAUGCAUUAAUAACAAUUCUAUUAAGCUGAUGCUUCAAUUUUUGAAGUUAUU
rnacentral:tRNA from 1 species